rnacentral:rRNA from 1 species
GAUGAACGCUGGCGGCGUGCCUAAUACAUGCAAGUCGAGCGAACAGACGAGGAGCUUGCUCCUCUGACGUUAGCGGCGGACGGGUGAGUAACACGUGGAUAACCUACCUAUAAGACUGGGAUAACUUCGGGAAACCGGAGCUAAUACCGUAUAACAUGUUGAACCGCAUGGUUCAACAGUGAAAGACGGUCUUGCUGUCACUUAUAGAUGGAUCCGCGCCGCAUUAGCUAGUUGGUAAGGUAACGGCUUACCAAGGCAACGAUGCGUAGCCGACCUGAGAGGGUGAUCGGCCACACUGGAACUGAGACACGGUCCAGACUCCUACGGGAGGCAGCAGUAGGGAAUCUUCCGCAAUGGGCGAAAGCCUGACGGAGCAACGCCGCGUGAGUGGAGAAGGUCUUCGGAUCGUAAAACUCUGUUAUUAGGGAAGAACAAAUGUGUAAGUAACUAUGCACGUCUUGACGGUACCUAAUCAGAAAGCCACGGCUAACUACGUG